rnacentral:rRNA from 1 species
UACGAAGGGUGCAAGCGUUACUCGGAAUUACUGGGCGUAAAGCGUGCGCAGGCGGCUUCGCAAGUCAGGCGUGAAAUCCCCGGGCUUAACCUGGGAAUGGCGUCUGAAACUACGGAGCUGGAGUGUGGCAGAGGGAGGUAGAAUUCCACGUGUAGCGGUGAAAUGCGUAGAUAUGUGGAGGAAUACCGAUGGCGAAGGCAGCCUCCUGGGCCAACACUGACGCUCAUGCACGAAAGCGUGGGGAGCAAACAGG